rnacentral:rRNA from 1 species
GGACUACCGGGGUAUCUAAUCCCGUUUGCUCCCCUGGCUUUCGCGCCUCAGCGUCAGAAAGGGUCCAGCACGUCGCUUUCGCCACCGGCGUUCCUUCCGAUAUCUACGCAUUUCACCGCUCCACCGGAAGUUCCACAUGCCCCUACCCCCCUCCAGGCCGCCAGUAUCAAAAGCCCUUCUGCCGUUGAGCGGCAGGAUUUCACCCCUGACUUGGCGGCCCGCCUACGCGCCCUUUAAGCCCAGUGAUUCCGAACAACGUUCGCACGGUUCGUCUUACCGCGGCGGCUGGCAC